CUUCUCUCCUUGCCCCGUCCCAGAGCCUCUGACCUCCUUCCUUUCCAUGCUUCUCUGGCUGGGAAACUUCCUCUCCUCUUCCCCCACCAGGCUGCAUGUGAAUAAGAGGCCUGGGCUUAGACGAUUUCCCCAAGUCCGUGCACCGUGUCGUCAAGGGGUUCUGCCCGCUUCACACGGCGCCCCCGAGACCUACUGUUGAACCUGGCACGGGGGUCACAAGUGUUUGCUGAAUGAGUGUUUUAAGUCCUGGGGCGGACGCAGGUAGGGUGUUUGAGAGGGCGUCUCUUUGACCCCUGCCUCUGCCAGGUGUGCCCCUGAGAGCCUGAAGACACGCACCUUCUCCCAUGCCAGCGACACCUGGAUGUUCGGGGUGACACUGUGGGAAAUGUUCACCUACGGCCAGGAGCCCUGGAUCGGCCUCAACGGCAGUCAGAUCCUGCAUAAGAUCGACAAAGAGGGGGAGCGGCUGCCUCGGCCCGAGGACUGUCCCCAGGACAUCUACAAUGUCAUGGUCCAGUGCUGGGCUCACAAGCCAGAGGACAGACCCACGUUUGUGGCCCUGCGGGACUUCCUGCUGGAGGCCCAGCCCACGGACAUGCGGGCCCUUCAGGACUUUGAGGAAGCGGACAAGCUGCACAUCCAGAUGAAUGAUGUCAUCACCGUUAUCGAGGGAAGGGCCGAGAACUACUGGUGGCGUGGCCAGAACACGCGGACGCUGUGUGUGGGGCCCUUCCCUCGCAACGUGGUGACCUCCGUGGCCGGCCUGUCGGCCCAGGACAUCAGCCAGCCCCUGCAGAACAGCUUCAUCCACACGGGGCAUGGCGACAGUGACCCCCGCCACUGCUGGGGCUUCCCGGACAGGAUUGACGAGACACUCCCCAGCUGAGAUGUGCGGUCAGGUUCUGUCGACUGGGAGGCGGGAGGCCUACACCCAGUUUCCUCCAGGAGGAAGGGGUUCUGAUGAGAUUCUGCCACCCCUCCACACGCUUCCCCUGCCCUCUUGACCUGGCUCUGUCCCCCACAGACUGUAUCUGGGAAACCCCCUGGACCCCCCCGACCUGCUGAGCGUGGAACUGAGCACCUCCCGGCCCCCCCAGCAUCUAGGAGGGGUGAAAAAACCAACCUAUGACCCUGUGAGCGAAGACCAAGACCCCCUGUCCAGCGACUUCAAGAGGCUGGGCCUGCGGAAGCCAGGC
rnacentral:sRNA from 1 species